rnacentral:tRNA from 1 species
GUUCUCGUAGUUCAAUGGAUAGAAUAAGCCCCUCCUAAGGGCUAGAUUCGGGUUCGACUCCCGGCGGGAACACCA